rnacentral:rRNA from 1 species
AUUGAACGCUAGCGGGAUGCUUUACACAUGCAAGUCGAACGAGUGGCGGACGGGUGAGUUAUAUAUCGGCACGUGCCCAGUAGCUGGGGAUAACUACUCGAAACAGUGGCCGAUACCGUAUACUUUUGGAUCGGCCGAUAUCGCAUUUGCGAGUUGUAGGGGUAAAGGCGAACCAGGGCAACGAUCCGUAGCUGGUUUGAGAGGACGACCAGCCACACUGGGACUGAGACACGGCCCAGACUCCUACGGGAGGCAGCAGUGGGGAAUUUUGGACAAUGGGGGAAAGCCUGAUCCAGCCAUCCCGCGUGUAUGAGAAGGCCUUCGGGUUGUAAAGUGCUUUUGGCAGAGAAGCGGUAUCUGCAGAAUAAGCACCGGCUAACUACGUGCCAGCAGCCGCGGUAAUUC